GUGUACGUUGCAAAGUACUCAGAAGAAUUGUGGUAAGAAGUGAAAUACAAAUCGGACUAGGAUAUAGCUGGUUUUCUGCGAAAAUUGUUUUGGCAAAUUGUUUAUUUUUUUUCAUUCAUUCAAAGAAUGAAUGUAUAAUAAUAAAAAUAGUGGGUAUAGCACUGAAUACUUUGGGGGAGUAUUAUUAUAUUUAUCUCGGGUAUUUAAUCUCAAAAUAACUAUUUAUUUAUAGGUAAAUAAUCAGACUAUUUGCGAUAAGGUAGAUAGUCAAAAGGGAAACAGCCCAAAACAGUUAUUAAAGCUCCAAAAUUAAUAUUUAAGUGAAAUAAAAGUUGGUGGUAGUCUUUUACAGGCAAUAAGUGGGCUUGGAAACAGCCAU
rnacentral:rRNA from 1 species